UUGACUUUGAGUUCAGUUCAGUCAGCCAAGUCAGUUCAGUCAGAAAGAGUCCUCUGAACGAGGUAGUUAUGUAUUAUCCUAAUAGUAGCGAAUUUGUUAGUCGAGUUGUAACUUUGAGUAAAGUAGUAUCUUUUUGUCCAGUACGGACUUAAGUAUUUUGAUAGUUUUUCUCUGGAUUUAGAGAGUAAAGUAGUAACUGUGAAGUUAAUUGUUACCCGCUGGCUGUGUUACGGACGUUACUUGUGACUUAUUCUGUAACUAAUCGUCUUGGAUAUUCAAUACCGCCGUUAUGAGGAUGUAAUUAUGUUUCACGUCGGAAGUCUUGAUGUAACUGCCAAUAAGAUGUCUAUAUAAUGAAAGUACCAAGAAUAAUGCAAUGGGUAACAUCAUUGGUUCAAGCAGCUGACUGGUGUCAAAAAUCACAGACAUCUAACAAGCCACUCAUACACGAGGUCCGUCACAGACACUUUAGUCAAUAAUCAUGUGUUGUGUGCGCAUAAUGGAGUGGGUGUUUACAAAACAAGUCAAAAGUCAAUGCUGGGGUUCCAGAGAACGAAAAGUGAAAGAGAGAGCAAGUAAUGGUACUUUGAAACAACUAAUCCUAAUAGCAUUAAAAAGUUAUGGAACAAAAUAUCAAGAGAAAUGUAGAAAUGGGAAUGGGAAUGUGUACAAAGGACUAACUUUUUGUUGUUGGCGUAAAGUUAAAGUGCUACUAAAAUUAAUGGGUUCAAAAUAUGACAGCAUGUAUAUAAUGCGCUGGGGGCGCAAUAUGAAACUGGUCUUUUCAAAUUAAGUCUAAAGUCUAUGUGGGAGAAAUUAUGAUGCACAGGUGAAAAAACAAAAUGGGGGUUUCAGAGCGCAAAAGACGGAGAGAGAGAGCGUAAUCGUUGUUUACACUAAUUCACAGGCUAAAAAAUUAUGUUAGGUUGAUCAUUAAAACUGUAUGGCCAGUUUAA